UACGUAGGGUGCAAGCGUUAAUCGGAAUUACUGGGCGUAAAGCGUGCGCAGGCGGUGAUGUAAGACAGAUGUGAAAUCCCCGGGCUCAACCUGGGAACUGCAUUUGUGACUGCAUCGCUGGAGUACGGCAGAGGGGGGGAUGGAAUUCCGCGUGUAGCAGUGAAAUGCGUAGAUAUGCGGAGGAACACCGAUGGCGAAGGCAAUCCCCUGGGCCUGUACUGACGCUCAUGCACGAAAGCGUGGGGAGCAAACAGG
rnacentral:rRNA from 1 species